UGAACUGAUUGUGUUUUAGACCAAAUGGAGGAGGAAAGACUAAAGAGGAGAAAGUCGAAAGCACAAAGAAAAGAAAAGAAAAAAUAGAUGGAAUUGCUACAUAAUUUUUUAGUUACAUGGGAUUUGUACUUGCAUAAACUCUUAACCUGAAUACGGAGUCUGAAAAUUUAGUUCCUUAGUGACCUUCCAUUGUUAAAUUUCCAGCUUUGUGUUCAUCUUUGCUGAAUUCAGGAAGUGGCAGCAGCACAAGGGAGUGAACUGAUUGUGUUUUAGACCAAAUGGAGGAGGAAAGAAGAGAAAGUCGAAAACGCGGAGAAAAGAAAAGAAAAAAUAGAUGGAAUUGCUACAUAAUUUUUAGUUAAAUGGGAUUUGUACUAGCAUAAACUCUAACCUGAAUACGGAGUCUGAAAAUUUAGUUCCUUAGUGACCUUCCAUUGUUAAAUUUCCAGCUUUGCUGACAACUAGAAGCCCAGUGAUCAUCUUUGCUGAUUUUUUUCUAAUUUUGGGACGUAUAAAACGAAUGUUCUGCUCUGGUUGCAAAUUGCAACAGAAGACAGGAAAAAAAUAUUAAUUAUCCCCAUACAUAAGCUAUGUAUAUAAACACUGGCAUGAAAAAACUAGUCAAUCAGCCCGUAAAGCAGUAAUAUUUUGCAAUCAUAUAUUGUCUUCCUGGUUCUCAAUAGUCAAUUUGUCUAGUAUCGUAGUAAUUAUUUUUUUCUUCCCUAAA
rnacentral:lncRNA from 1 species